AAGUCGUAACAAGGUUUCCGUAGGUGAACCUGCGGAAGGAUCAUUACAAAAUCUAAAGUUUGGGGUGCCAGCUGAGCGAUCGGCCUCUCGGGGCCUUUCUGCUCGCUGCCCUCAAAUCUUUAACCUACCCCAAAACCACUGUGCACUGUGACACAAGGCUUACCGAAAGUCCUAGCUUUUGGUAACCUUAACCUACUUUACACGCUUAUGUUUUUUGACAAACUGUAUUUCAUUUUUCUAUGGUCAGCUUUUGGGCGAUCAUGUAAAAUAAAACACAAAUGUUAAUACAACUUUUAGCAACGGAUCUCUUGGCUCUC
rnacentral:misc_RNA from 1 species